rfam:Oryza nivara chromosome 7, whole genome shotgun sequence.
AAAAAGGCAAAUCCUGGGUUUCCGUGUCUAACUUUGACUGUCCGUCUUAUAUAAAAUUUUUUUAUAAUUCGUAUUUUCAUUGUUGUUAGAUGAUAAAAUAUGAUUAAUAUUUUAUGUGUGACUUGUCUUUUUAUUUUUUUUAUAAUUGUUUUAAAUAAGACGGACAAUCAAACAUUGUAUACGGAAACCAAAGUUUGUCUUUUUU